GGAAGUAAAAGUCGUAACAAGGUUUCCGUAGGUGAACCUGCGGAAGGAUCAUUACAGAAUCUCUUCUAAAGUUUUGUUAUGAGUAAUUAUUCUAGCGCUGCUGAAAUAUUGCGUGCGCGGUUGGUUGCUUGUGAUAAUUCUUUGGGAAAACUCUAUACACUUUGUUUUCUUAUUAGAGACAAACUUGCUUUGGUCAGAUGUGCGUAAAACCACGACUGAUCAGAGAUUAAAUAAAACUCAUUUUUGUUUUCGGGCAAAAAACGUGUAUUAUUCAUAGUCAAAACUUGAAGCUAUUCUUUAUUGAAUUGCUGAACUAAACUUAAAACUUUCAACAACGGAUCUCUUGGUUCUCGCAUCGAUGAAGAACGCAGCGAAGUGCGAUAAGUAAUGUGAAUUGCAGAUUUUCGUGAAUCAUCGAAUCUUUGAACGCAUAUUGCGCCCUCUGGUAUUCCGGAGGGCAUGCCUGUUUGAGCGUCAUUUCCUUCUCAUAUCCCUAGGAUGUGGUGAUGAGCGAUACUUUCGUAAGAAAGUUCGUUUGAAAUGAAUUGGCACGAGUCUUUCGACAGAUUGAUGCUAUGUUUUCAAUGUAUUAGGUUUACACCAUCGUUGAUUGUAGUAUUGGGCUGUUGAAGUUAUGGGCUUUGCUUUACAAACUUUACCUUAAAGUUUGACCUCAAAUCAGGUAGGAUUACCCGCUGAACUUAAGCAUAUCAAUAAGCGGAGGA
rnacentral:rRNA from 1 species